rnacentral:tRNA from 2 species
GCCAAGGUAGCCUAGUCCGGAAAGGCGGUAGCCUCGAAAGCUACUGACUUCACGUCUCGGGAGUUCAAAUCUCCUCCUUGGCGCCA